rnacentral:rRNA from 1 species
CACGCAGGCGGCUUUUUAAGUUUGACGUGAAAACUCCUAGCUUAACUGGGAGAGGACGUUGAAGACUGGAAGGCUUGAGGCAAUGAGAGGGGUGCGGAAUUCCCGGUGUAGUGGUGGAAUGCGUAGAGAUCGGGAGGAACACCAGUGGCGAAAGCGGCACCCUGGCAUUGGCCUGACGCUCAGGUGCGAAAGCGUGGGGAGCAACG